UGUGGGGACCGCCGCUGCUAAAGCGGAGGAAGGAAUCGGGCAACGGUUAGGUCAGUAUGCCCCGAAUAUCCCGGGCUACACGGCGAGCUACAAUGGUUGGUACAAUGGGUAUCUACCCCGAAAGGGGAACGGGAAUCUCCUAAAACCAAUCUUUAGUUCGGAUUGAGGGCUGCAACUCGCCCUCAUGAAGCUGGAAUCCGUAGUAAUCGCGUUUCAACAGAACGCGGUGAAUACGUCCCUGCUCCUU
rnacentral:rRNA from 1 species